rnacentral:rRNA from 1 species
UACAGAGGGGGCAAGCGUUAUUCGGAAUUAUUGGGCGUAAAGGGCGCGUAGGCGGCUUGGCAAGUGGAUGGUGAAAUCCCUCGGCUUAACUGAGGAAGUGCACCUGAAACUGGCAGGCUUGAGUACGAAAGAGGGUCGCGGAAUUCCGGUGUAGAGGUGAAAUUCGAUAGAUAUCGGGAGGAACACCGGUGGCGAAGGCGGCGACCUGGUUCGGAUACUGACACUGAGGUGCGAAAGCGUGGGGAGCAAACAGG